UAUAUAAUAAUAUAUAUCGAAACAAUAACUUAUAUAAUCAGAGAGGUCUCUCUAGAUAACUUUAUCUCGAACCCCCUCCCUAUCUAAAUCCCAAGUUCGCAUCCUUUUUCUCGUCUUGCCACCCUUUGUCCACUCUCACUCUCUUCGUUUUCACCCACACACCCUGCCCCACCGUCAGUCUCUAUCUAACUAGUGUUCCCAUCCUCUCAAGUCUAGGCAUAGACUCUACUGACCCUCCCAAAGACCCAAACUGGCAACCAGUCUCCUCCAUCGCCACGACAACUAGCGCCACCGGUGCCUAGUUACUUCACUGCAACUUCCACCACCGCUAGGCUAGCAACCUCCUUCUCUUUGGCCAUUUAUCUAGCCUUGGUACUCUAGCAAACACAAAAUUCACCCCUAAUCCUAUAAUCUAAAAUCUAGCCUCCUUUGAGCAUCGUCAUCACAAAUAUUUAAUUAGAAUUAAGAUCAAUCAUUCUCAUUCUCUCUAAUAAGCUAUCAUUUUGAACCAUCCUCUCAUAGGGCCAGCCUCAACUGCGUAUGAUAUCGCUAACUAACUGUGCUGAAAUCUAACAUGGAGAAAGGAAGAGUGUUCACUAAUGACAAGAACAACAUUAAUUGAUUUCUCAUGAUCCAAGAAGAGGAGAGGAGAGAGAGUACACCUUAUGUCCCGAAAGGACCGUAAUUGUAGAGUUAGAAUUUUGACCUAUAAAAAAUACACAUGUAGUUACUAUCACGAUUAGAUCAGGUGGGUCCAAUUAUUACAAAAAAUGAAAAAAUCGUAUGAUUGAUAAAGAAACAAUGGUUUUCAUGGAAAUCUCACUAGCCACUGGGAGUUCGGAUUCUCUAUACAAAUCAUGGCACUAGUCAAAAGUAAAAAAGAAAAAAAAAUAUGCCAUACCUAACCUCAUGCGUGUUGACUGAGGGAGUACUCUACAAGAGCAUUUUUGUAAUUUCUUAUCUAUCAUUGAUUUUGUGUCUGGUCCUAGAAAUGUAUUUUUUUGUGGGACAGAGGAAAUAGAUUUUCCCUUUCAUGCAGCUCCAACUUAGGUAUGGUCAUCUCCAAGGCCGCUGUGGUCGUCUUGAGCAUUUCUUUUUUGAAAAGGAAAAUUUUAUUGAUCUUGACCAAUUACUAAUGCGAUACUCUUUUGUCCCCAAAAUAAAUGAUUACU
rnacentral:lncRNA from 1 species